rnacentral:rRNA from 1 species
GCACAAGCAGCGGAGCAUGUGGUUUAAUUCGAAGCAACGCGAAGAACCUUACCUAGACUUGACAUCUCCUGAAUUACCCUUAACCGGGGAAGCCUUGGGCAGGAAGACAGGUGGUGCAUGGUUGUCGUCAGCUCGUGUCGUGAGAUGUUGGGUUAAGUCCCGCAACGAGCGCAACCCUUAUUUUUAGUUGCUACCAUUCAGUUGAGCACUCUAAAGAGACUGCCCGGGUUAACCGGGAGGAAGGUGGGGAUGACGUCAAAUCAUCAUGCCCCUUAUGUCUAGGGCUACACACGUGCUACAAUGGUGAGAACAAAGAGACGCGAGACCGCGAGGUGGAGCAAAUCUCAUAAAACUCAUCCCAGUUCGGAUUGCAGGCUGAAACUCGCCUGCAUGAAGCCGGAGUUGCUAGUAAUCGCGAAUCAGCAUGUCGCGGUGAAUACGUUCCCGGGCCUU